ACGCCGCGUGAGUGAUGAAGGUUUUCGGAUCGUAAAACUCUGUUGUUAGGGAAGAACAAGUACCGUUCGAAUAGGGCGGUACCUUGACGGUACCUAACCAGAAAGCCACGGCUAACUACGUGCCAGCAGCCGCGGUAAUACGUAGGUGGCAAGCGUUGUCCGGAAUUAUUGGGCGUAAAGCGCGCGCAGGCGGUUUCUUAAGUCUGAUGUGAAAGCCCCCGGCUCAACCGGGGAGGGUCAUUGGAAACUGGGGAACUUGAGUGCAGAAGAGGAGAGUGGAAUUCCACGUGUAGCGGUGAAAUGCGUAGAGAUGUGGAGGAACACCAGUGGCGAAGGCGACUCUCUGGUCUGUAACUGACGCUGAGGCGCGAAAGCGUGGGGAGCGAACAGGAUUAGAUACCCUGGUAGUCCACGCCGUAAACGAUGAGUGCUAAGUGUUAGAGGGUUUCCGCCCUUUAGUGCUGCAGCAAACGCAUUAAGCACUCCGCCUGGGGAGUACGGUCGCAAGACUGAAACUCAAAGGAAUUGACGGGGGCCCGCACAAGCGGUGGAGCAUGUGGUUUAAUUCGAAGCAACGCGAANAACCUUACCAGGUCUUGACAUCCUCUGACAACCCCUAAAGAUAGGGCUUCCCCCUUCGGGGGCAGAGUGACAGGUGGUGCAUGGUUGUCNUCAGCUCGUGUCGUGAGAUGUUGGGUUAAGUCCCNCAACGAGCGCAACCCUUGAUCUUANUUGCCAGCAUUCAUUNGGGCCCUCUAAGGUGACUGCCGGUGACAACCGGAGNAAGUGGGGAUGACUUCCAAUCAUCAUGCCCNUUNUGACCUGGGCCUNCCCCG
rnacentral:rRNA from 1 species